AGCAGUAGUCAUUCCAAGGAAAAUCAGCAAAAUACCUCCUCAGGUCCCCCCAACUAGCAGAGGCAAAACGCCAGAGGCACCUUCGCUUAGGGGGAUCCUGAGGAGGGAUUGGAGUGAUAGGACAAGAUAAAGAUAUGAGAUUGUGAUCGGAGGAGCCCAACGGAGAAGAAAGGGUGACAGCAUAAGCAGAAGGAUUAGAGGUCAGGAAGAGGUCAAGAAUGUUGGGCGUAUCUCCAAGACGGUCAGGAAUACGAGUAGGGUGUUGCACCAAUUGCUCUAGGUCAUGGAGGAUAGCAAAGUUGUAGGCUUUCCACACAUUACGUGUGGAAAGAGUAUUGCGUGUUCUACUACUACUUCUACUACUACUAUUACUACUACUGCCGUGAAGACAUCAACCCGACCUGAGCCGACUGUGGGAGUGACAAAUGGUUCCCUGGACGCCGUGUGUCACCGGAUUGCAGGCGAGCGUCAGGCGGACCAUGAGUCGGGACGCUGGCAAGUCCGUUGACCAGAACCUGACCAGGAAAAUUCAAGAAGCGUGGCCUUGACCUUGCUCAGCAGUUGUGCCCUCACCUGACCUACGUUAUGUUGCUCUGCGUUCAUUGUUUCUGGCAAACCCAGUGUCUCGCGUCCCCUCAGCGUGGCCAAGUCCCCUCCCGCGGUGCCAUUCUCUCAAAUCAGCCACAACAUGUCAAGGCGGCCAGUCCCGGCUCCCUGCAGAGGCUUUUUGUGUUCUCACCAUUUCUCUCCACCGUUGCUGCUCGCUGGCCCUUCUUCACCCUCACACCCGCCCGGGACUGACAUCACAAGUGGAAGAUAUAACCCAUUUGCGAGAGUUUUCAUGGCGACGAGGGAGCAACAGUGUGUGUAAAGGUCAAUUUCCUGGACACUGGAGGCUAAAAAUUGCUGCAUACUCAGGGUAUUCCGCGUCACAGAAAACGGAAUUUGCCGCCUGUGAGCGCCUGCCCGCCCCUAGAUGGUGGUGGGGGGUGUCUCAAGGCGCCCGUGCAUUGUGGCGUGGCUCGUGUGGCUGGUGGGUGCUUGCUCCUUCUUGUGAGAAUGUGGCGUAUACCUCUAGAUUUUUUUCAUGGUUUGAUAUUAAUAUGUGAGAUGCAGUACGAGAUUAUGUUUCCGCGUGUGUAAGAGGUUAGUUAAUAGAAAAAUAAAUAAAUAAAUAGAUAAAAUAAAAGAGUCAUUGUCGUUCAUUAACAAAGCUAAGUAAAAAAUGGUUUCAAUAGGGAAGCUAAAUUAAUUUCAGAAAUGUCUGCCUAUUAUUUUUUUUCCACAUUCCAUCAUAACAUUGUCUUUUGUUUGUUGUUUUCCUCAUAAGCUGUUAUUUAAAGAUGGUGACGAUAAUAAUGAAGAGUUUGUAACAAUGUGCUUAAUGAUUACCAAACAAAGCAGUAUUUGUACCAUGAACCUCGCGGCUAAUGAGGGAAAAUUGCCUUUCUUGUACACACAUGAAAAGCAACAAAGGAAAGUUGAGAUAAGCCUCCAUAGUGGAAAAUAGAUAAAUAAAUAAAUAAAUAAAUUCU